CCUACGGGAGGCAGCAGUGGGGAAUAUUGCGCAAUGGGCGAAAGCCUGACGCAGCAACGCCGCGUGAGUGAUGGAGGCCUUCGGGUCGUAAAGCUCUGUCAAAAGGGAAGAACACCUGGUGGGAACAAUACCCCAUCAGUUUGACGGUACCUUUAAAGGAAGCUCCGGCUAACUCCGUGCCAGCAGCCGCGGUAACACGGGGGGAGCGAACGCUGUUCGGAAUCACUGGGCGUAAAGGGCGUGUAGGCGGUUCGGUAAGUGGGAUGUGAAAGCCCCCGGCUCACCCGGGGAACGGCAUCCCAAACUGCUGGACUUGAGUGCGGGAGAGGAUGGGGGAAUUCCUGGUGUAGCGGUGAAAUGCGUAGAUAUCAGGAGGAACACCGGUGGCGAAGGCGCCCAUCUGGCCCGUUACUGACGCUGAGGCGCGAAAGCUGGGGGAGCGAACAGGAUUAGAUACCCUGGUAGUCCCAGCCGUAAACGGUGGGCACUAGGUGUUGGAGGCAUUGACCCCUCCAGUGCCGCAGCUAACGCAUUAAGUGCCCCGCCUGGGGAGUACGGCCGCAAGGCUGAAACUUAAAGGAAUUGACGG
rnacentral:rRNA from 1 species